GAUGAACGCUAGCGGCAGGCUUAAUACAUGCAAGUCGAGGGGCAGCAGGUCUGUAGCAAUACAGAUGCUGGCGACCGGCAAACGGGUGCGGAACACGUACAGAACCUUCCUUCGAGCGGGGAAUAGCCCAGAGAAAUUUGGAUUAAUACCCCAUAGUAUACUGAAGAGGCAUCUCUUUGGUAUUAAAGAUUUAUCACUUGAAGAUGGCUGUGCGGCUGACUAGGUAGUUGGCGGGGUAACGGCCCACCAAGCCUGGGAUCAGUAACUGGUGUCACAGAACGACCAGUCACACGGGCACUCGGACACGGGCCCGAAUCCUACGGGAGGCAGCAGUAAGGAAGAUUGGUCAAUGGACGAAAGGCUGAACCAGCCAUGCCGCGUGAAGGAUGAAGGUCCUCUGGAUUGUAAACUUCUUUUAUAUGGGACGAAAAAGGGGCUUUCUAGCUCAACUGACGGUACCAUUUGAAUAAGCACCGGCUAACCCCGUGCCAGCAGCCGCCGUAAUAC
rnacentral:rRNA from 1 species